UAGCAGUCUUAAUAGCAGUUGUAUUAGUUGUUGUGGUGCUGGUGGCAUGCAGGCUCAAGUAUAAAUAUCAGCAGCACAGAUAUGGGUUUGAUGAGAAUCAAGGCACACACCAUUCUGAGCCUCCUAUCCCAGCGAGAAGACCGAUCAACA